AUGCUUUUCUGUAAAAAAAAAACGUGCAAUGAUUUACUCUUUAUUGGCGCAAUCCGGGGAAAGAACCUUCAUCAAGGGAACCAAAGGAGGAGGGUGGCAAUGGUCCGGAGCCUAUCCUGCAAGCACAGGCUAUGGAACAGAGCACAGUCUGAACACCGGUCCGUCACAAGGUAUCCACGUACAUCUUUUUUUUCAAUUCCAACUUUAUUAAGAAAUAAAUUAUUCACAUCUAAACUCCAGUUUCUGUCGCAGGGGUCCGUGACGCCGCUCGCCACCCUGCCCCCUCCUGCUGCCCGGAAGGCAUUGCACCCGACCCCCAUGUUGGACCUCGUGGGUGGUGGGCCCACGUGGCACCCCCACGUUGCCUUUUCGGGCUGAGCCCGGUGGGGUUAGGUGGGCUACCCAGCCACCAGGCGCUCACCUAGGAACACUACCCUCGGGUCUGGCUCCAGGGGUAGGUCCUGGUGAUCCUAUUCGGGGCAGGGUAAACGCUGUCUUGUUCACCUUCGCCAUGUUGGUUUUAUGGAUAAUAGGUGCCUCCCUGGUGGUCUCAGCAUCGCACUUAUUGAAGCGAAGUCCGUAUUUACGGGAAACUGGUCUUGUGUUCCACGGAAUACGCCGCACAACGUAUAUACGAAUGCCAAAGAAAAUAGUGAAAUGCGGCAAGACGACACAAACCGAAUGUGGAACGGUGCCAGGAUGGUCUCCGGAAAAGCGGUUUUCAUCCGCGUGCAGUUUUUCGUAAGCAAGCAUUCUGUUAUACAGAGAAAGGAGCUGCUGUGAUGGGUUUCUCGCUCAGGCCUGAAAACUCUUCGUUAGACUGAGUUGUGAGCACGUCUUAAUUAAUUAUUAAUUUGUACUAUUAAUAGGCCACUCGGAUCGCCUACACUAAGCUACUUACAAUUAUUUUCUCGUCCACACAGCGGGGAAGUGUAACACACACUCUGACACACACACUGUGAGUAAUUCAGAGUCACCGGUUCACCGGAAACACAUCGCUGGACUGUGGGAGGCAACCAGAGCAACUGAAAGAAGCCUACACGAACGCAGGGUGAACAUGUGACUCCUCACAGGCUGAGCCACACUCAAACCCUGAACCCAAGACUACUGAUUCCAUUUUUGCACCUAUCCUCACCGCAGUGUCUGUCAAAACGUGACAGUGAAACCCCAUUCAAGCCUUGGGGUCUCAUAAUGGUCAAGAGUCCAGCCUGGUGAUAUUUACACCAUGAGUGGUCUCUAUGGGUGAAGAUAUGAACAAAUUUCACAUGAAUCACAUAUAUUUACACGCUACUUUCACAUUUAUUUGUUCAACUCACACUUUUCACCAAAGC
rnacentral:lncRNA from 1 species